UACGAGAGGCCCAAACGUUAUUCGGAAUUACUGGGCUUAAAGAGUUCGUAGGCGGCGCAGAAAGUAGGGUGUGAAAGCCCUCGGCUCAACCGAGGAAUUGCGCUCUAAACUACUGUGCUUGAGGAAGCUAGAGGUGAGCAGAACAGAUGGUGGAGCGGUGAAAUGCGUAGAUAUCGCUUGGAACGCCGACGGUGAAAACAGGUUGCUGGGAAUGUGCCGACGCUGAGACACGAAAGCCAGGGGAGCAAACGGG
rnacentral:rRNA from 1 species